rnacentral:rRNA from 1 species
UCCUCCCCCUUUCUUCGUGCUUAACACAUGCAAGUCGAACGGAAAGGCCCUGCUUUUGUGGGGUGCUCGAGUGGCGAACGGGUGAGUAACACGUGAGUAACCUGCCCUUGACUUUGGGAUAACUUCAGGAAACUGGGGCUAAUACCGGAUAGGAGCUCCUGCUGCAUGGUGGGGGUUGGAAAGUUUCGGCGGUUGGGGAUGGACUCGCGGCUUAUCAGCUUGUUGGUGGGGUAGUGGCUUACCAAGGCUUUGACGGGUAGCCGGCCUGAGAGGGUGACCGGCCACAUUGGGACUGAGAUACGGCCCAGACUCCUACGGGAGGCAGCAGUGGGGAAUAUUGCACAAUGGGCGGAAGCCUGAUGCAGCAACGCUGCGUGCGGGAUGACGGCCUUCGGGUUGUAAACCGCUUUCGCCUGUGACGAAGCGUGAGUGACGGUAAUGGGUAAAGAAGCACCGGCUAACUACGUG